GGGAGGACAAGAACAUAAGAGACUAGAUACUUAAACAAUAAUGAUGCAAAUAAGAUGAUCUUCCAAGACAAACCUUAACCUUAGAGUAUUUAUAUGACAAUCUGUGGAGGUACUUACUGAAUCAGCCCUCCAGACUUACAGAAGCUGGGCUUCCCAAAUGAAACUACUACUUUCCAAUGCCUGGACUCAUAAUCCUUGCAAG
rnacentral:lncRNA from 1 species